AAGUUGGGACCCGGACGGCCUCACCAUGAUGAGUGAGUCUUGCUUCCCCAGGGGGCUGGCGGGCUGGGCUGGGGGCAGGCUUCUCCGACCCCAGCCCAGGAAGGGACAGGGAAUAGCUUCAUUCCCUGACUUCAUCAACCAGCUGACCUACUGACUCCCUCUCCCUCCCUUCCUCCCUCCCCUUCCCUUCCUCCCUCCGCUCCUUGCUUCCCUCCCCCUCCCUUCUUCCUUCCCCCUCCCUCCCUUUCUGCCCCUCUCGCUCCUCUUUCUCCCCUUUCCCCUCUCCCUCUGCCUUCCCCUGGCACUCUCUCUCUAGAACGGGCAGCUGCUGCUGCAGUGGGAGGAGGGGCAGCUGGACUCUCCACAUCAUCCAACAUCCUCCUGGCCUCUGUUGGGUCAGUGUUGGGGGCCUGCUUGGGGAAUUCAUCUUCUUCUUCUCUCCCAGCUGAACCCGAGGCUAAAGAUGAGGCAAGAGAAAAUGUACCCC
rnacentral:sRNA from 1 species